UACGUAGGGUGCAAGCGUUUGUCCGGAAUUAUUGGGCGUAAAGAGCUCGUAGGCGGCUUGUUGCGUCGACCGUGAAAACCUGGGGCUCAACUCCGGGCCUGCAGCCGAUACGGGCUAACUAGAAUUCGGUAGGGGAGACUGGAAUUCCUGGUGUAGCGGUGAAAUGCGCAGAUAUCAGGAGGACACCGGUGGCGAAGGCGGGUCUCUGGGCCGAUAUUGACGCUGAG
rnacentral:rRNA from 1 species